UUAACCACCGGUAAUCUAGCAUAAUAGAUAUCUUAUGUUUUAUAAUGUGCAGCCAAAGAUAUCAAGAGUAACUAUGGAUUUAAUAAAACUAAAUAGCCAUCUCACAACCAGUCUGAAAAAGUCCUCAAUUUCUAAGAUAUUUAAGCACAUUCAAAUUCUGGCGAGGAACUGUCACUGCUUACCCUUACCUCCCCCCCGUCAUCCGUCCCUGCUCAUAAAAACAUCAAAACAUUGUUUAUUGAUUUGAAAACUGAACUUAUCCAAACUUUGAAAUCAAAUAAAUAAUGAGUUAGCGAGAAUUCUUUGACGUUACUUUUUCAGUUUUGAAAAAAAUCUUCUUCCUAUAAAAAAAUAUUUCUAAAAUGUGCAAAGUUACAUUUUUUAUUAUUUAAAAAAAAAUAAAAAUAAACUAA